rnacentral:rRNA from 1 species
AGAGUUUGAUCAUGGCUCAGAAUCAACGCUGGCGGCGUGCCUAACACAUGCAAGUCGAACGAGAAAGUCCCCGCAAGGGGAUGAGUAAAGUGGCGACCGGGUGAGUAACACGUGGCCAACCUACCCUCGAGCGGGGGAUAACCUGGGGAAACUCGGGCUAAUACCGCAUAACAUCCCGGAGACAUAAGUCUCUGGGACCAAAGGCCCGCAAGGGUCACUUGAGGAGGGGGCUGCGGCCGAUUAGCUAGUUGGUGAGGUAACGGCCCACCAAGGCAAUGAUCGGUAGCCGGCCUGAGAGGGCGCACGGUCACACUGGCACUGAAACACGGGCCAGACUCCUACGGGAGGCAGCAGUGGGGAAUUUUGCACAAUGCCCGAAAGGGUGAUGCAGCAACGCCGCGUGAGGGAUGAAGGCCUUCGGGUCGUAAACCUCUUUCGACCGGGAAAAAUGGACGGGUGAAUAGCCUGUUCUGAUGGUACCGGUGAAGAGCC